AUCUGAGAGCACUUUGUCAAGGUUGCAUUCCUUGGCAGAGAGCUCUUAGU
ensembl:miRNA